GCCUGUUUUAACUAUGUAUAUAGAAACCUAGAAACAUAGAAUGUGACGGCAGAUAAGAACCAUUCGGCUCAUCCAGUCUGCUCAAUUUUCUAAAUAAUUUCAUUAGUCCCUGGCCCUAUCUUAAGUACAGGAUACAAUUAUGCCUAUUCCACAAAUGCUUAAACUCCCUCACUUUGUUAACCUCUACCACUUCAGCUGGAAGACUAUUCCAUGCAUCCACUACCCUCUCAGUAAAGUAAUACUUCCUGAUAUUAUUU